AGAUAAGUCCACAGACGACAGAGGACGGGAGCUGCAGACGCAAUGAUGACGUUUUGAGCAGAAAAGGGAAGUGACUGUGGAAAUGUGGAAACAUCUGUCUGUAAGCCAAGUGAUAAAUACUAAGAAAUGGUCAAAUAUUGCCCUGAAUAGACGGAACAAGUGACAGAGGAGCAGUACGGAGGUUUCAGAUCUAAUCAAAAGAAGGAAUCUAAGUUAUGCUUCGUCACAUGGUUUGGCGCGCAGCACUGGAAUGAACGCAGCACAGACACAAAGAGCGGCUGUCAAUCUCAGGUACAGAAACCGCACAAGGACAGAUGCCAUGGAGAUAUAGAGUCAGCCGAUCGGUCGGCUUGUUGUUGGUGACGGAAAUCUGCCCCACCGCAGGCGAUGUUCCUUUCUGAUAAUUUUCAGCAUGAAGAUCAGAGGUCGCCUUGUCGGCCAGCAUCUUUGCUCCUCACAUGCUGCCUCAUGCGACAGCAUGCAGAGAUCUUUCUGCAGGAGUUCCGUCACAUGACGCAGGGAGACGCACAGUAAAGACUGUGACCGAGAGCAGCCUCCAUUCUCAGAUGGAGCAACAUCAGUUGUUGUUGCACUUGCAAUUUCUUCUUUUUCUUUUGCUUGUUUUAUUUUGUAGAUCAGAGAAUAUCCCGUGUUUAUUUUUCUAUUAAAAUGCACACUGAUGUUGAAAAUACAGGUGUCAUGAGGUGAAGCAGGUUAUUUUAUCCUCCACAUUAUUUAAACAAUGUUUCUCUGUCUGGUAGUAUAUGUGUUUAUUUUGGAACGUGAUUUAUUUAAAAAUUAAGCUCACAUAAUCCACCUUAUUUGUUUUUAAAAAAAUUUCAAACAUAAUAAUUCUCAUGUUGGAAUAUAUAUAUAAUCAUCCAAACAACAGAUGUGAUUAUUUCUCUUCCUCCUGUAGUUUGCUUAUGAUAAACGCUAAAAUAUGUGUGAAACAAAACAUUAUCUUGAAAUGAAAAAUAUUGAAUUAAAAGCAGUCUUAUUUUUAAAUUAAAAUAUAUUUGUACUUACAAAAUGCUUAGAGAAAUAGGAAAUGAAAACAGAUGGGAAAAAACCAUUACUGUUUUUAGAGUUUUCCCUAAAUUGUUUUCCAAUUGUGGUUCACUGGAAAAACAUUGGAUCUUAAUUAAAUAUUUAUUUUCAAAUUAAUUUCUAAAAGUUCAAAACAAUUUAAAAAAUCCACUUUUUGGAAUUUAUUGGAGAAUGACUCCAAUGAAUUCUCCAAUGACUACAGGAGAAUUACUCCAGUAGUCAUUUUUACUACUGUUGCUGUAAAGAAAAAAAUACACUGAGAUUAUCUUAACUUGAACAUCUAGUUAGUAAGAGUUAAUUUAUUGUCUCCAGACAGAUUUACUAUUUGACGAAACAGUUAAUACCAACUCCAAAAAACAACUCCCUGCUGUUGUCUCACACAGACACUUUAACGGUGUUGAAAUCAAAUGUGACAAUCUUAAUUUGGUCAAAUUUGUUGUGUACUUAUCGCAGCUAAAAACCAGACGUGCCUGUAAUUCUGGAAGUUGACAAAUGAUUUGUCUGAUUAACUAAUCGAUCACUCAAGCUGUCAAAAGAGCAGGGAGGAAUCUUCUCCUAGUGCAAGAACUUUGUUCUGGUCAUGUUUUGUUUCCUUGGAGGCAAAUAAAUCACAACUCUUUCAUCAGACGAACUAAACGUUACAGAAAACAAGCUCAACCAGUGAGGUUUCAAUUACAAAACCGCCACAGGGGGGAUGGAAAGCGUCGACUGAUGAGGGACACACCUUCCUCUUUGCACGAACUGUAUGGAGCUUUAUCUAGUCUAGAAGACUCCAAAGCACCUCAGAAUACAUUCAGUCAUUUACGCACUGAUGGUGGAGUUACAUUGCAGCCACAGAUACUCUGUGGCUGACUGGCAGAAAUAAAAACGGCUCUACUGAACCUGUUGGCCACCAGGAGGCAAAGCGGAUGAAGGUGACUGAAAUGGACACACCAUCAACCCUAUAGGAUGAACUCUGACCUCCUCAGCCGCUGUCGCCCCAUCAUUCUCAUAUAUAACUUGUUUGGGAAUUUCUAGCCAUGAUAUUCAAUUUCUAAUAAAAAGUAGCAACAGUUA